AGACAUAUGUAAGGGCUAAAAGGCACACCCGUGGUGCAGACUGCUCGCACGUCUGCCGCUGUGCAAUAGGAAAGCAUGUGAGCUCGGUGUAAGAAGGUAGCUAUGGUGCUUCGGUGAGGACAGUUACUGGUUGAGGUACUGUUCUGGUUUCUUUUUCAGGUUUACUUUAUGGAAGCCUGCCACAAGUUUCCCAAGGGGACGCUACUGAGAAGCUGGCUCACCAAGUCCCGGCCCAGACUGCUGUUGCUCAUCGCGGGGUUGAAAAGGCCUCAGGUGACCCUCAUGCGGAGGAAAAGGAUGAAGCGCACAAAAGUAGCAAAGGCCACGUAAGCGAACCUGCAAUCGAAUGCUGCAUUUCACUUGAGGUCUUGGCAAAGAGGAUCUCCCCACCGGAGUUGGAUAUGAAAGACGAAGACAUGGAAGAACUACGUUUCGAAUCUUUGUCGAAGCAACGAACUAAAAGCCAAAGCAAACAGAGAGGUUUACCGUCUUUUGUGAAAACAAGGGAUCUGCAACAGAGAUCUAGACCCCCUGAUUAAAUCGAGAUCUUCUUCUACA